AGAAAGUAUGCAAUGUUCAUAUAUGCUCCAGCUCCAACCCCCAUCAUACUUCAACUGGGGUAUUCGUGAGCAAACGAGGAUUACGGCAGACAAACGUAAGGGAUCACACACAAACAGAGUGAGAUAGAAGAAAGGAGGGAGAGGAAGAGGGAGAGGAAGAAAGUAAGGAGGCAGUGUCCAGUUUAUUCCAAGGUACCAAUCACGGCUAUAACCUCUCCCUAACCCUCUCCCCUGAGGCCUGAGCUCUGGGCAUCCAAGCCCACACCCCCAUUUCACUUCGCUGGUGGACAGACACAGGGAUGAGCAACAGUGGGACCAAGGAGCCGUCACCACAGCCAGGAGUGGCCCAAUCACCUGCCUCCACACCUCCACGCAGGGGCCGGGGACGCCCACGGAAACAACAGCAGGAGCCCACUGGCCCCCAACCCAAAGAACCCAGAGGACGACCCAGAGGAAGCAAGAACAAGGGGCCUCGUGCCACACCCAAGUAAGAUCAACCUCUCAUGUUCAUGUAGAUGUUAUUAUGAAAUAUCAAUAAAAAUAAAGUGUCAAACUAGGCACAGAAGCUAACAGAAAUAACGAUUGCAACAAUACGGUUGUGAGUAGACGUGGCUUUAGGUCUAGAUAUAUUUUUUAAACAAUACAAUAUUCUCUGCUUUAUCCUCCAUCCUUCUGUGUCAGAAAGUAGAGCCAGUCGGGGAGAGAAGACCUCGGGGCCGGCAAGGAAAUGGGUAUGGGACUAACAUACACACUCAACUCAUGCACACGAGUGUAAUGAGACAUAUAUCUCAAAUGUCUCUAGACUCCAUCUCUCUUCAUAACUGGGGAUGUACAACCCAGUCCUUAAGGGCAGUAGGGCCCUCUGUUUUUCCUGACUGAUGUCAUUGAUUGACAGGAGGAGCGUCCCCCUCACCUGGUGUCCUAGGUCUAAAUCAGCCACUGAUUACAAGACAAACAUAGCAGCCCCCCCCCCCCCUUCACAAUUGAAGUUGUCCACUCUGAGCUAUGCGAUGGAGAGUUUUACUGAUUCGUUGAAUGUUUUAUCUCUUCUCCUUCUGUCACUUUUAUCUUCUCCACAGCCCCAGAAAGUAGUUCAAGAGGUGAUCCAGGAACAGCAGAGUCCUUCAGAAGAAACUGAGGGCCCCUCACAGUCUCUGCCCGCUGAGGCUUCGCCAUCUCAGGCUCCAGCCCAGGAAGUGGCAGGGGGGGAGUAG
rnacentral:lncRNA from 1 species